rnacentral:rRNA from 1 species
UGCACCACUCCUACGGGAGGCAGCAGUAACGAGUAUUGGGCAAUGGGCGAAAGCCUGACCCAGCGACGCCGCGUGUGGGAUGAAGUCCCUCGGGAUGUAAACCACUGUCAGGAGCUGCCAAGUGACCGCGUCUAACAAGCGCGGGAGUUGAGGAGCUCCAGAGGAAGCCACGGCUAACUUCGUGCCAGCAGCCGCGGUAAUACGAAGGUGGCAAGCGUUGUUCGGAAUCAUUGGGCUUAAAGCGCACGUAGGCGGCUCUUCAAGUGUCUUGUGAAAUCCCUCGGCUCAACCGAGGAAUUGCUGGGCAUACUGUCGAGCUUGAGGUAGGUAUGGGCGAGUGGAACUCUUGGUGGAGCGGUGGAAUGCGUAGAUAUCAAGAGGAACGCCGGUGGUGAAGACGAUUCGCUGGGCCUAUCCUGACGCUGAGGUGCGAAAGCCAA